GAUGAACGCUGGCGGCGUGCCUAACACAUGCAAGUCGAACGGAGCUAUUUUGGAAAGUCCUUCGGGACUGGAAUCUAUAGCUUAGUGGCGGACGGGUGAGUAACGCGUGAGCAAUCUGCCCUUAGGUGGGGGAUAACAGUCGGAAACGACUGCUAAUACCGCAUAAUGCAACGGGAUGGCAUCUUCCUGUUGCCAAAGAUUUAUUGCCUUUGGAUGAGCUCGCGUCUGAUUAGAUAGUUGGCGGGGUAACGGCCCACCAAGUCGACGAUCAGUAGCCGGACUGAGAGGUUGAACGGCCACAUUGGGACUGAGACACGGGCCCCAGACUCCUACGGGAGGCAGCAGUGGGGAAUAUUGCGCAAUGGGGGGCAACCCGUGACGCAGCAACGCCGCGUGAUUGAAGAAGGCCUUCGGGUUGUAAA
rnacentral:rRNA from 1 species